AUUGAACGCUGGCGGCAGGCCUAACACAUGCAAGUCGAACGAGUGGCGGACGGGUGAGUAAUGUAUGUGAAACUGCCUGAUGGAGGGGGAUAACUACUGGAAACGGUAGCUAAUACCGCAUACCAUCGAAUGUGCCCAGAUGGGAUUAGCUAGUAGGUGGGGUAAAGGCUCACAUAGGCGACGAUCCCUAGCUGGUCUGAGAGGAUGACCAGCCACACGGGAACUGAGACACGGUCAAGAUUCCUACGGGAGGCAGAAUAGGGGAAUAUUGGACAAUGGGCGAAAGCCUGAUGCAGCCAUGCCGCGUGGAUGAAGAAGGCCUUCGGGUUGUAAAGUACUUUCAGCGGGGAGGCGUUACCCGCAGAAGAAGCACCGGCUAACUCCGUGCCAGCAGCCGCGGUAAUAC
rnacentral:rRNA from 1 species